CCUACGGGAGGCAGCAGUGGGGAAUAUUGGGCAAUGGACGCAAGUCUGACCCAGCAACGCCGCGGGAAGGAAGAAGGCUUUCGGGUGGUAAACUUCUUGAAAGGGGGAAGAGCAGAAGACGGUACCCCUUGAAUAAGCCACGGCUAACUACGUGCCAGCAGCCGCGGUAAUACGUAGGUGGCAAGGGUGGUCCGGAUUUACUGGGUGUAAAGGGCGUGCAGGCGGUCUGUUAAGUCAGCGGUCAAAGCCCGGGGCGCAACCCCGGCCCGCCGUUGAAACUGGCAGUCUCGAGUUGGAGAGAAGUAUGCGGAAUGCGCGGUGUAGCGGUGAAAUGCAUAGAUAUCGCGCAGAACUCCGAUUGCGAAGGCAGCAUGCCGGCUCCACACUGACGCUGAGGCACGAAAGCGUGGGUAUCGAACAGGAUUAGAUACCCCGGUAGUC
rnacentral:rRNA from 1 species